rnacentral:rRNA from 1 species
GUGCCAGGCAGCCGCGGUAAUACCGGCAGCUCAAGUGAUGGCCACUCUUAUUGGGCCUAAAGCAUCCGUAGCUGGCCGCGCAAGUCCGUCGGGAAAUCCACUCGCUCAACGAGUGGGCGUCCGACGGAAACUGCACAGCUUGGGACCGGAAGGCUCGAAGGGUACGUUCGGGGUAGGAGUGAAAUCCCAUAAUCCCGCACGGACCACCGAUGGCGAAAGCACUUCGAGAAAACGGAUCCGACAGUGAGGGACGAAAGCCAGGGUCUCCAACCGGAUUAGAAACCCUUGUAGUCC